UAGGGAAUCUUCGGCAAUGGACGAAAGUCUGACCGAGCAACGCCGCGUGAGUGAAGAAGGUUUUCGGAUCGUAAAACUCUGUUGUUAGAGAAGAACAAGGACGUUAGUAACUGAACGUCCCCUGACGGUAUCUAACCAGAAAGCCACGGCUAACUACGUGCCAGCAGCCGCGGUAAUACGUAGGUGGCAAGCGUUAAUCGGAAUUACUGGGCGUAAAGCGCACGCAGGCGGUUGAUUGAGUCAGAUGUGAAAUCCCCGGGCUUAACCCGGGAAUUGCAUCGGAUACUGGUCAGAUAGAGUCUUGUAGAGGGGGGUAGAAUUCCAUGUGUAGCGGUGAAAUGCGUAGAGAUGUGGAGGAAUACCGGUGGCGAAGGCGGCCACCUGGACAAAGACUGACGCUCAGGUGCGAAAGCGUGGGGAGCAAACAGG
rnacentral:rRNA from 1 species